rnacentral:lncRNA from 7 species
AGCCCUGGGAAACUGAAGAAACCCACCUAGUGGGAGACAGAAAACUUCCCUUGCUGCAAAUGGUUGGUGAAACUGGACUCAACAGAAAGCUAGGAGCAAGGCAAGGACACAAAGACUGUCCUCAUCUGGAAGACCUCCAGUGCAGGAAGAGCACCUACUGGGGGACAACCACGUACCAGGGACACCUCAGCACGACUCCUGUGACAACACCAGGAGGCAGCAGGGACCAGCAGCACUGAUCCACAGGUGAUGCUGCUAAGAGUACUUCAUACACAGAUAUGGUCUGCAUUCCUUUGGAAGAUGCCCUCCCACAGGCCCUCUCUCACAGAGCCACACUAAAAAUAGAGCUGAGUGCUUCCUGAUGGCACCGCUGUGUUUCUCUGGAAAGGCAGGUGUUGUUUCUCUGGAAAGUUUUAUUUCUCCAUUUAAAAAAUGUCGUUUUGGAAAUGGGAGUACGUCCCUGGAUUUGUAUCACCUGGCUUUUUCUGAACGACUCCUCUUGUCUCUUCUCCAAGAAAAAGACACAGUGGCUGAGGAUGGAGGAGCGCUCCCAGUCCCUGUGGGAGAGCUGGAGGGUGCUGCUGAUGCCAAUGGGGAACUGAAACUACAGCCCUGGAGAGGAAACAAGAUCAUCGCUGCUGCUCCCUUCGCACUCCUGACUUUGUUUGCUUUGUGUGACUGGUUUCUGGCUGAAUAAAACAAAAUUUCCUGGCCCUCUGAGAUGAGGAAAAUCAUCCGGUGACAAAAGGAAGUUCUGAGGGGUUUGAGAUGUGUCCCUCUCCUGGGAAAGAGAAAGGAUGCCCCCGUGGUACCUGAUAUAACUGGGACUUGCAAAGCUCUGUCUGCUAGUUUAUAAACAUACCCUCAUUAAAGCAUUUUAAUU